CCUACAGCAGCCCUACAAAGAAGUCAUUCAUCCUCCAGUGAUGGGGAGAAGUUUCACUGUUGGAUUUUUUUAAGAGCCUGUUGUCACGCAGAAGGAGUGCUUCCCUGUCUCCAGCCUCCGGCACCUGCCUGAACCCCAAAUGAACCUCCAGGCUGAGCAGGGCCAGUCCCUUGCCUGCCCCCGGCCCUUGCAUAUGAUGAAGCUCCUGGGCCUCUCUGCAUUUCUCACCUGGACCCCAGGUUGGUCACAGCUUUUCUUCCAAGGAGCAAGCAUUGUUUAAUUUCAU